GCCUGGGUGGCUCAGUCAGUUAAGCCUCUGACUUCAGCUCAGAUCAAGAUCUUGCAGCUUGUGAGUUCGAGCCCCACUUUGGGCC
rnacentral:tRNA from 1 species